AUUAAACGCUGGCGGCAUGCUUUACACAUGCAAGUCGAACGGCAGCGGGGUAGUGCUUGCACUACUGCCGGCGAGUGGCGAACGGGUGAGUAAUAUAUCGGAACGUACCGAGUAAUGGGGGAUAACCAAUCGAAAGAUUGGCUAAUACCGCAUACGUCCUGAGGGAGAAAGCGGGGGAUCGCAAGACCUCGCGUUAUUCGAGCGGCCGAUAACUGAUUAGCCAGUUGGUGGGGUAAAGGCCUACCAAGGCGACGAUCAGUAGCGGGUCUGAGAGGACGAUCCGCCACACUGGGACUGAGACACGGCCCAGACUCCUACGGGAGGCAGCAGUGGGGAAUUUUGGACAAUGGGGGCAACCCUGAUCCAGCCAUGCCGCGUGUAUGAAGAAGGCCUUCGGGUUGUAAAGUACUUUUGUUAGGGAAGAAAAGGGAAGUGCUAAUACCACUUUUUGCUGACGGUACCUAAAGAAUAAGCACCGGCUAACUACGUG
rnacentral:rRNA from 1 species